UGGAGACGCCAACGAUGACGACAACGAGGGUGGAGACGUCAACGAUGACGACGACGACAAGAAAAAUAUUUCUCUCUCUUUUCUUCGACCCGAUCAUUGUUAAUCGAGUACCUAAUUGAGAAAAAUUAGCUCAACCGCUAUAAUCUUGCCUGCUCGUAAAACCGAACUGAUAAUACAAGCAGCUUGCCACCGAGACCGUUAAUAAAGUAAAAAUUAUUUCAACCUGUAGAAAAAACGUAUCCAAACUCGUUAGAAAAUUCGUUUCGAAAAUCAAUCAAGAUAUUCACGGAAGUGUCCACGAGUUCGGAAUUAAAUUUCAAUAAGACGAGAAGACCGCUUAGGAAACGUGUCCCUACUCGUUAAAAAUGCUGUGGAAGAGAGAGAAACCGGUGCGACGCGUGUACCCCCCUCUCUCUCUCUCUCUCUCUCACUCCAAACGAAAUGCGAAACCGCGAGACUCCCCGUGUGUGUGUAAACCACAAAAUUCGCGACGGCGUUUCAGCGCGAUAAGAAAACGCCGCAUAAUUAAAUUUCAAUAAGACGAGAAGACCGCUGUAGAAAAAACGUGUCCAGACUCGUUACAAAAUGUUGCGGAAGAGAGAGAGAGAGAGACAGAAAAACCGUUGCGACGCGUCUACCCCUCUCUCUCUCUCACUCCAAAAUUUGCGCUUCGUUCAUAGCGGAUCGAGCGACAGAGAGAAACCGAUGCGUCUACCCCUCUCUCUCUCUCACUCCAAAACAUCUCCUACAAUGUAAAAAUGCAAGCGCGAUAAAAAACGCUGCAUAAUUAAAUUCAAUAAGAUGAGAAGACCGGAAGGUAAGCGACUAUCGAUAACGCGUACGAAAUGCGAAACCGCGAGACACUCCCCUCCCCCCAUCACGGAGCUCGCCGCGGCCCUUCCCCCUCCAUAUCCACCGGCGCUCGCGGCAGCACUUCCGCCCCCAGACCCACCUGCGCUCAAGGCCACACUUCCCCCUCCAUAUCCACCAGCGCUCGCCACGGCUGGAUUCCUCCCUCUUGCCCCGCGGUUCGACUUACCCCUCGAGCACCAUGGCUUAGAACGUUAUUACUAUACCUACUAAUAAGUAUUGUCUAAAGCAUGUCGUGUUUGGUAUCAUUUUAAUUGGGAUCGUUUGACAAUGGUUUUCAUAAAUGAACUAGUGAAAUUAAUUUCUUGAUCGAUGAGUAUGGCUUUUGGACUGAAUUUGGAAAUGAGAUUUUCUACGAGUGCGUUUGUCGUUUCGAUCGCUCCGGUAGUGUGGAGGGGUGCCGCUAUUGAACACUUUGUUAGCAAACCUGCAUAGUCAGGAUAUAUUCGAACCUUUCGGUGGUGGGGGAAAGAGAGUCGACAACGUCUAGGGAAACUGUAUCAAACGCACGUCCUGGCGUGUCAGUUCGAGUCAUAGGCAAUUUUGUCUUCACUCGUAUUAGUUUGUUUCGUUGACAAUCCAGGCAACUGUUCACGAACUUCGUAACAUUUACAUUUAGCGUAGGCCAGUAAUACUUUUCCCGAACUUUUUUGUACGUUAUAUAGGUACCUUUCUGUUCUGCGUACACAGACACGAGAUUUUCUGAUAGGACGGUCAUGCGACGGUCCUUUGCUGGGAGUUGGAAUUCGCCGGAACAGAUGAAUAUCUGGAGAUCUGUUCCAUAUCAUUGCGAAUUUAGUAUCGGCCGGAUAGAGCGGCUCGGAAUUUCUUUACCCGCGAAUUUUAUCGCUCGAAAUUCAUUUUCAUGGUCGACGGCCAGACCGUGGCGAUAUUCGAUCUGGGAGGACCCUCUGGUACCGUUUCAUACCUUCGGAAGAUUACUCUUGGGUAUCGGAAUAGCAACUGUCACCGUCUGCGCGCGUAUUUCGCUUCGAUUACACUGUUCGACAAACUUUUUUUCUGAUUUCUUAUAGCCACUAUAAAAUUAAAAAAAAACUACUUUCAUUA